rnacentral:misc_RNA from 1 species
UACGUAGGAACCAAGCGCUGUCCGAAUUUACUGGGCGUAAAGGGCGCGUAGGCGGUCUGUUAAGUCUUAUGUGAAAUCUCCCGGCUCAACCGGGAGGGGUCAUGAGAUACUGGCAGACUUGAGGGCAGUAGAGGGAAGCGGAAUUCCCGGAGUAGUGGUGAAAUGCGUAGAUACCGGGAGGAACACCAGUGGCGAAGGCGGCUUCCUAGACUGUGCCUGACGCUGAGGCGCGAAAGCGUGGGGAGCAAACCGG